ACGACCUUACUUGAACAGGAUCUGUUCUAUAGGCUCGUACCUCUGUAUUCUUGAUUCCUAAGAAGACAGAAACCCAUGUUUGGUUGAUGACUCAUGACCAUGGAACUAGAGCGUGAUUAACAGAGCCCCAUGGUCUUGACCAUGGCUCAGUAGAGGAUCUUGCCAGCCCAUUUGAUGGGUUGCGGCAUGGUUCCAUGGUUGUCUGACAAACA
rfam:Helianthus annuus linkage group 1, whole genome shotgun sequence.